rnacentral:rRNA from 1 species
GUUAUGCUGACGAGUGGCGAACGGGUGAGUAAUAUAUCGGAACGUGCCCAGUCGUGGGGGAUAACUACUCGAAAGAGUAGCUAAUACCGCAUACGACCUGAGGGUGAAAGCGGGGGAUCGCAAGACCUCGCGCGAUUGGAGCGGCCGAUAUCAGAUUAGGUAGUUGGUGGGGUAAAGGCCCACCAAGCCAACGAUCUGUAGCUGGUCUGAGAGGACGACCAGCCACACUGGGACUGAGACACGGCCCAGACUCCUACGGGAGGCAGCAGUGGGGAAUUUUGGACAAUGGGCGCAAGCCUGAUCCAGCCAUGCCGCGUGCGGGAAGAAGGCCUUCGGGUUGUAAACCGCUUUUGUCAGGGAAGAAAAGGUUCUGGUUAAUACCUGGGACUCAUGACGGUACCUGAAGAAUAAGCACCGGCUAACUACGUGCCAGCAGCCGCGGUAAUACGUAGGGUGCAAGCGCUAAUCGGAAUUACUGGGCGUAAAGCGUGCGCAGGCGGUUAUGCAAGACAGAGGUGAAAUCCCCGGGC